ACGCGUUCUGGGCACGCGUGCUGGCGUUUCAGAACGCGUUUAAUUGAAGUCGAAUUGUGGCACACUCGGCUUGCCAUAUGUAAGGGCCCUAAAAGUAGUCCGAGAUGCCAAAGGAGGGAAAGCCAGAUUCAUACUGGGCCGGUGUCGUGGUCCGGUUUGUCCAGGGGAAACACAAGUUUUCUACAGGCCAGAGACCUGGGGGCAGACGUUGGAGGGCAGUGAUAGAAAGGAUUAAGAAUUGUCCCCUGACCCCUAUAUUUGGCCUAGCUGUCAGAAGAUUUGACAUUUUUGGGAAAAAGAUCCCCUGCAAAUGUGGCUAUCCAUGAUACCUCCCAAACAUUUCUCCUCCAGCCAUCCCUCUACUACCCCAGCCCAGGAGAUGACACCGACGCCAGUCCUCUGUCCCAGAGAUGCUCAAGCUCCAGUCUGCCUCACAGCCCAGAAGACGACAUCAAACAUCUGUCUCCAAGAUGCUCCUGCACCUGUCCCUUCCAGAGUAUCUGAGAUUGCACCAGCGACUCAGAGUGGCCCACCACUUCUUCCUGCCCCUGCCUCUGCUCCUCCUCCAGCAGCACCAGCACCAGCACCGGGGUUCCCAGUCCCUUUGCGCUCUCAAGAGGUUAGCCGGGCUAGGUUUUUAUCAAAAUUCCUCCGGGUCAUCAAGCCAGGUGACCGGGAGUGGAUUGCCCAAAUCAUCUAUGAAGCGAGUGGGCAGCCGAGACAGGAGAUCAGCCAGAAUUGGCACCAACCCCCAAGUCCAAUCAGAUCUGUGGCACCUCCAAACCCAGAUUACUAUUUUAGGCAGAGGAUGUUCCUGUGGGCACCAAUGCGCAUGUGGAGCAUCCCUCUGAAAUGCCCUCAGUGCAAAAGAAAACUGCACCACUCUGGUAUUUACACCAAGGUCAGAGAGGUCAUUGAUGUGGAUUCAAGGUACUACUAAAUAGGGGGAGUUUACCCAAGGUGCAGCCAGUGCAAACCAUCGCAAACUUUCUGUCCUUGGAGUAGAGACAUUUUAAAGCAGCUCGACCCCUCUAACCGCAACAAAUUCCCUGCUGUGUUAACAACACAUUUGGCACUGGACCGAAAAUGCGAGACACUUUUGCGUCCGAGAACAGCAGGGAAUAGCUCCAGUUACCUGCAGCAGGCCGUUCAAGAGGCACACAGUGAGGAGUGGGCUAGGAGAUCCUGUGACUAUUUCACAGAUUGUGAAUUUCAUAGGAGAUCCUGCCUGAAACAGUCCAAGGCUGUUUAUCUCAAGCCACCAUCCUUCUGUCCCGUGCCCCUGGCCCAGUGGUUUGAGACAGUGCAUGCCAACGAUGUGUUCAGUCACCUUGAUGAGCUCAAAGGUUUCAUUACUUCAACGUUUGGCAAAAUUCUGAAGCUUGAUUCCACUAAGAAGGUAAAUGUAAACCAAAAUUAAACCCAAAAGUAAACCAACUGCCAAAUUAAGGCAGUUGGUGACAGUCUGUCUAAAAAAAUUAUUUAUGAUCUUGUGAACACAGGAGUGGGCCCAGUUCUCAAGGGGUUUCGGCCAUGGACAUCCACUGUGCGGUUGGGUGUGUUCCACUUUAUGAGGUGAUUCACAAGAAGUCUCACCACGGAACACCAUCCACUGUAUGGUACCUUCUGUUCUAAAUUGUCGAGCUGCAUUUUUGAGUGGGACAUGCAGGACGUCUGUCAUCUGAAAGAGGCCAAGCGGACAAGGCUGAGGAAGAAACAUCAGGGCCAUCAGCCAACAGAUGCCCAGGUGUGGCGAGCAUCAGCUCUAAAGAGCUAGCCGAGCACUGCCGCAGGAAAACCCGGGGAGUGGAGGAGACCCGUGCCCUCAUCAAAAGUCUUCUAGACUCAAUGUGGCAGUUUGUGGACGGCACCGGGCUGCACCUCAUCAACCACGACCACAUGUCUCGCGUGUGGGAGGUACAGCACUUUGCCUGCAUCCAGGAUCCACCAGGAGUGCAGCUUUAUACCAACAUUUGGUAAGGGCUGGAGAAAGGAGACAAAACGUUGAAUGUCCUAAGAUGCUGCAGAGGUUCCUCCUCUCUGGAAAGCUUCCAUAAGCACCAGUGUGCUUUCAUUCCAGGGUGGAGAUGCAAUGCAUUGCACACUCAAGAUGUACAUGCUUGAGGGUGUGUCAAGGUGGAAUUUGAACCGGUCAGCACAAGCACUUGGUAUGACUGAGACAUCCUGGACAAAGAUAUAUGACAUACGCUUGAUUUACAACGUGAAUGCGCUCAGCCACAAAGUCUUGGGAAAACCUCUUCUUCCAGAGUUUAUCCCCCCUGGGAAACCUACCGGAGAGCGUAUUGCUGUGUAUCUUCUCGCACAGUCCAACAGAGGAGAUCUUCUGAGACAGCAGGUUGGUGAUGAUGAUGAUUGAUGAUGAGGAUAAUGAUGGCAUCCUGCCAGAUAUCUUCGAUGAAACCUCGAGGAUGAAUGUACCGUCCUCAUGACCUCACAUUGCAGGAAAUUGGAAGCGGUGGCCCCAGGCCCAGGUCGGAUCCCCGGUCCCCAUUUGAGGAGAGUUAUGCCUCUGCAAGACCCGUCCACUCCCCAAUUGAGGAGAGAGAUGCCUCUUCAAGUCCCGUCCACUCCCCAACUGAUGAGAGAGAUGCCACUGCAAGUCCUGUCCACUCCCCAAUCGAUGUCCUCGCCUCAUUUGAAGAGAGUGGGCUCGUUACUCCAGCUCCGAUGACUAAGACAGGGAAGUCAGACAGCUACUGGAGGGACCUCUGCAUAAAAUAUGCCCAGGACCAAUACCGCUUCUCGACUGGCAAACGGCCAGGGGCCAAGAAAUGGAAAAAGGCCUUGGAGAGUAUCGAUGCCUGCCCCCUGCAGAGCCAUAGUGCUAGUAAGGAUCUGUUCGGGAGAAGCCUUCAGUGCUCCUGUGGGUUCCAAAAGGCGAGCGCAUAGCAGUGGAGUAUUUAUUGGCCCAGACCAACAGAGGUGACCUGCUGGCUCCAAAUCAGGUCCCUGAGGUCCCCUCGCAGGUACUUGAGGAGGAGGAUGAGCCAGAUGACACCAUCAGCAUGACUGACAUUCUGUGCCAGUCAGCUGCGAUAGGGGCUGGUGAUCCUCCAGGUGCUGUGGUGGGUGAUGCUGAACCCGGACCCCUCGUCACAGAGACCAGCCAAUGUGACUCAAGGAGGAUGCGGUUGAUAACCUGGCAGGCUACCUAGUUGGCUUGAAUCGCACCAUCACUGCCUUGUCAUUGAAGGAGGAGGUGGACAUAGUCCAGCUAUAUACAGCUCUCCAUGUCAUGGACAAGAAGCAUUCGAGGUACAAAAUAGUAAUCCCUAUUGACGACUCUAUUGACGACUUUACAUCCUUGUUCACAGUCCAGAUCAUAUCAUGAUGUGGGAGUCAUGUAUAGUUCCACAGACUGUACAUGACUCACGGCCAAGCAGCCCAGGAUCCCGAACACCACAGGGUCAGUGAGUGUGUCUGCCUCAGACUCCCUUUUGGAGUUCCAGGAGCCUGAGAACCGUGAGGGUGAGGCAAAAGUCCGCCAGCGACACAGUUCCAGGACACCUGUACCACGUGCCAUUCCACACACAGAGCUAUUACCAAGCACGAUGCUGCUUCCUCUGGAAACAGCUGUAUGGAGAGCUGGUCCUCUACCUACCAGCCACCCCCAACAAACUACCAGAGCUGGACUUCUUUUCUUCAGGCACCCCCGGAACACUCCCAGGAGUACUCCUCUGCCCAUCAGCUACCCCCAGCUCACACUCAAGGCUGGUCCACUUACCAGGCACCCCUUGCACACUCCCAUGUUUGGUCUUCCACCCAACCACCACCCUCAGCGUCCAACCAGGGCUGGUCUGCCACCCAACCACCACCCUCAGCAUCCUCCCAGGGCUGGUCAUCCACCUCCUACUGUCCUGACCAACCUAGGCUCCCUCACCAAGCACACCCAGAGGCACUAGGUCACCUUAAUCGCCAGCGUGAAUGGCGAUUACACAAGGCAACCCAAAUCCAAGCAAACUGGACACUAUCAGUUACGUGGAAAAUGGUACUGCCCUGCAUCCGGACAGAUGCUUGAGGAGUGGAGAAGCUCCUUGUAAUUACCCCAAUAGACAUUAUUUUUUAUUGUAAUUUUUUUUAUUUCUUAUCAGAAAAUAUGUUAACGUUCACUGUUGAAAAAUAAGUAUAUUUGCUGUUGCAAAAAAUAAUAAUAAUUAGUUGCCGUUGCAACUAUUUGCAAAAAAAAACAAACAGAAUAGUUGCUUAUGCAACUAUUUGCAAAAAUAAAAACAACUACAAAA
ensembl:lncRNA